AACAAAGUCAAAACCAAGCUAAAAAUUCUCAUUUGGUUCUGUCCAAACCUUGCUCGAGUUACGGCAUCAACUCCUUCGGAAUAUUCACCUCAAACUUUUAGGAAAUUCAAGCAGAAAUCGUUUUUUCGACGCAAAAAAUCUACCAAAAUGUCCCAAGCUCAAUUAUUAUCCGUCCCCCAUCCCCCCGUGGAGGAGGUCAAGACGGCUGCAGGGGGAAAAUCACGAUUUAUUUUUUCAAUCAAAAAUUGUAACAUUUCCAAAACAUGAUUAAAAGUAUUUUCUUCUCCUGUAUUAUGCUGGCGACGUCGUACUACUAUCUUUUUGGCGAACGUCACCCACAUCUCAAUUCGAUCGUUAUUGCGAAGGAGAAAAACACUGGUUGGCAUUUAUUCUCGACCAUCUCAGAGGGUCUCGUCAUCUUUGGAUUUGUCGUCGCUGCGAUCCUGGCCUUAAUCCAUCUCAGGCUUUUGGCUGGAAUACACCAGGUGAAAUUGUAAAUAUUUGAUUUCGUGUCAGAAUGAUAAUUUCUCCAAGUCUCCACUUACAUACUCUAAAGCCAUGCAGGAUUGAACUUUUUGCAGAAACUAAGAAUUCUGAGAAACCACACCACUGCCAAUCUCAAAUUGAGAAUUUACCAUUUUGAGACGAAAUAGGCCAACUUCGAGAUCGUCACAGCCUGUUGGAUAGCUAUGGUAGCCUUCUUCGCUGCCUAUUUUGGAUUCAUGAUUUUCGUACAUAUUAACGAAGGUAAAAAUCUCUGCAUUCCUGAAGAAGAAGUCGUCAUAACUUUGUCCAGUUUCUACGCAAUUUGGCUCGUGGGUUGCUUCCGAGUUGAAAUGAAGGUGAAGAUGGAAGCUAAGAAAUCCAACAAAACUGACAACCUUGAUACAGUUAUGAUAAUUGCAAAUUGAAUUUCCUAUAUUUAUUGAAUUUAAAUAUAUAAAAUCAAAUAAUUUAUGUACACGCUAAAAAUAUAUUAUUAGAAACCAGCGUAUAAGCCCGUUUCCCACCGGGCGACCGGCUUAUUUGAUUUUGAUGAAGGGAAUGUUCAUAAUUCCACCGAUUUUUUUAUUGUGUCCAUAUUAUCAAUUAAAAAAUCUGUUGGCAAGGGAAGUGAAACUCUUUCCACUUCCGCUUCCGUCACGGAAAAUUACUUUCACUUCCGUUACAGACAAAGAUUUCCAGCUUAUAAUAUAGAUACGUAACUUAUAUAAAUUUCAUACAUAAUGAACUUCAAUUCGUGCCCAUUAGCUUGUUUUUAUUCCACUUUUCUUCUUUCUGAGGUCACCCGUCAUGAAAAUUUUAACGUCUGUGUGAAAUACUACAUAGUUGUAAAAAUAUCCUUCCGUCUUUAAGUCAAAGUUGUACACGUUUUUCAAUAAUACUUAAAACUUAACUUUGGCAUAUUUUAUUUUUAAGUUAAUUUAGCUCUAGCGAUUUUUUUGUAUUGCAUUUUUAAUCCACCAUCAUACAAUUGUACGGUUUAUAUAUCCUAAAAUUUAUAAGGUUGUGCUCUCUAACUUCAGAAUUUUUACGAUCAGUAAACAAUUAUUUAAUUAUUCAUUGAGUACGAAAAUCAAUUCUUCCCACAUUUCAAAACAGCCUUGUCCGGUAUCCCUGCAAGUUUAUGUAUUACGUAAUUAUUGCUUGCUAAUUAAGUAUGUACAUGCAUUUACUUACAUACACACGAAUAGAUACAUACAUAAUUUAUUAAUUUAUUUGAUGCAUUUUAUUUUAUAUAUUUCCCAACAAAAUGUAAAUAGGUGUAUAGGUUAAAAAUGUAGCAUCUUACUUACAU